UGUGAUGUGUGUAUAUAUUUUGACGUCUUGUUUGGUGUGUGGUCUCUUUAUGGUUUUGGGGUCUCUGUUGCUGUGAUGUAGGGAGAGAGUCGUAUCUUCAGGCUGCAGUUUGACGGGGCCAGCAGACCGGAGGCCCUAGAGCGGUGUGAGAGGGCGGUGAUACGGCUGCAGGACUUCCUGCCGGUGGGCAGCCAGGAGAAGCCAGCGCCCCCUACAGGCAGCAGUAGCACACAGCUCCCCCUACAGGCCGAGCAGUCAUGUCCAGCAGACUCCGCUGCAGAAGUCCAGGGGUCUCUCUCCCUCAAGCGUCUCUCUCAGCACUUCCUGGGUGAGGGUCGUCUCUCUCUUCCGCUGGUGUACCGAGACUGCGGCCCUCUGGCCCCCGCCGACCUGGAGCUGCUCAGGCUGUGUCUGAUGGACCCUGCCUUCCCUGCCUACGUGGAGGAGGUGGAGGGAGAGCUGAGGAAGCUGUGUCAGGAGUGAGGCAGUCGUGUGUGUGUGUGUGUGUGUGUGCCUGUGUGUGUCUUUUUAUAGUGGGUGUCAUUGGAGGGGUGGGGGCAAAAAUGACAGUCCUGAGACAGCUUAGGGAGGCCUGAACACACCCUCACACACACACAACCUCUCACACACACACACACACACAUAAC